CUCUCUAUUUAUAUUUAGCUAAGAAUUGAUGCUUGUUCAACUGGGAUCUAUCCAGAGAAACAUAAUCCACUUCAAGAAUUUUCUGAAAAGGGAAUCUAAUGCAAGGAAUUAAUUGCAAAGAUGAUGCAAUAUCUGAGAACGAUAGAUUUGACAGUUUGGUCUACAUUUCAAGGCUGGUUAGAUGGGAGGUAUGUCCUGGUAUAUUAGUUAAUUUAGGUAUAUCUUACUGAUUUACAUUGCAUGAUUUAUCAGAUGCUAUUGACUCAUUCAAGUAAAUACAUU
rnacentral:lncRNA from 10 species